rnacentral:rRNA from 1 species
GUUAGGAAUAUUGGACAAUGGGGGCAACUCUGACGCAGCCAUGCCGCGUGCAGGAAGAAGGCGCUACGCGUUGUAAACUGCUUUUAACCGGGAAGAAACCCCAGGACGUGUCCUGGGUUGACGGUACCGGAGGAAUAAGCACCGGCUAACUUCGUGCCAGCAGCCGCGGUAAUACGAAGGGUGCAAGCGUUAUCCGGAUUCAUUGGGUUUAAAGGGUGCGUAGGCGGAGCGUUAAGUCAGUGGUGAAAUCCUGCAGCUUAACUGUAGACUUGCCAUUGAUACUGGCGCUCUUGAGUGCGCUUGAAGUGGGCGGAAUGUGCCGUGUAGCGGUGAAAUGCUUAGAUAUGGCACAGAACACCAAUUGCGAAGGCAGCUCACUAAGGCGAUACUGACGCUGAGGCACGAAAGCGUGGGGAUCGAACAGGAUUAGAAACCCGGGUAGUCC